UACAGAGGGUGCAAGCGUUAAUCGGAAUUACUGGGCGUAAAGCGCGCGUAGGUGGUUUGUUAAGUUGGAUGUGAAAUCCCCGGGCUCAACCUGGGAACUGCAUUCAAAACUGACAAGCUAGAGUAUGGUAGAGGGUGGUGGAAUUUCCUGUGUAGCGGUGAAAUGCGCAGAUAUCAGGAAGAACACCCGUGGCGAAAGCGGCUCUCUGGAACGGUACUGACGCUGAGACGCGAAAGCGUGGGGAGCGAACAGG
rnacentral:rRNA from 1 species